AACGAACGCUGGCGGCAGGCUUAACACAUGCAAGUCGAACGCCCCGCAAGGGGAGUGGCAGACGGGUGAGUAACACGUGGGAACAUGCCCAAAGGUACGGAAUAUCCUCGGGAAACUGGGAGCAAUACCGUAUGUGACCGUAAGGUGAAAGAUUUAUCGCCUUUGGAUUGGCCCGCGUUGGAUUAGCUAGUUGGUGGGGUAAAAGCCUACCAAGGCGACGAUCCAUAGCUGGUCUGAGAGGACGACCAGCCACACUGGGACUGAGACACGGCCCAGACUCCUACGGGAGGCAGCAGUGGGGAAUCUUGGACAAUGGGCGCAAGCCUGAUCCAGCCAUGCCGCGUGAGUGAUGAAGGCCCUAGGGUUGUAAAACUCUUUCGUGGGGGACGAUAAUGACGGUACCCCAAGAAGAAGCUCCGGCUAACUUCGUGCCAGCCGCCGCCGUAACAC
rnacentral:rRNA from 1 species